AAUCCAUAGGUUAAUGAGGCGAACCGGGGGAACUGAAACAUCUAAGUACCCCGAGGAAAAGAAAUCAACCGAGAUUCCCCCAGUAGCGGCGAGCGAACGGGGAGGAGCCCAGAGCCUGAAUCAGUGUGUGUGUUAGUGGAAGCGUCUGGAAAGGCGCGCGAUACAGGGUGACAGCCCCGUACACAAAAAUGCACAUAUUGUGAGCUCGAUGAGUAGGGCGGGACACGUGGUAUCCUGUCUGAAUAUGGGGGGACCAUCCUCCAAGGCUAAAUACUCCUGACUGACCGAUAGUGAACCAGUACCGUGAGGGAAAGGCGAAAAGAACCCCGGCGAGGGGAGUGAAAAAGAACCUGAAACCGUGUACGUACAAGCAGUGGGAGCCUCUUUAUGGGGUGACUGCGUACCUUUUGUAUAAUGGGUCAGCGACUUAUAUUCUGUAGCAAGGUUAACCGAAUAGGGGAGCCGAAGGGAAACCGAGUCUUAACUGGGCGUUAAGUUGCAGGGUAUAGACCCGAAACCCGGUGAUCUAGCCAUGGGCAGGUUGAAGGUUGGGUAACACUAACUGGAGGACCGAACCGACUAAUGUUGAAAAAUUAGCGGAUGACUUGUGGCUGGGGGUGAAAGGCCAAUCAAACCGGGAGAUAGCUGGUUCUCCCCGAAAGCUAUUUAGGUAGCGCCUCGUGAAUUCAUCUCCGGGGGUAGAGCACUGUUUCGGCAAGGGGGUCAUCCCGACUUACCAACCCGAUGCAAACUGCGAAUACCGGAGAAUGUUAUCACGGGAGACACACGGCGGGUGCUAACGUCCGUCGUGAAGAGGGAAACAACCCAGACCGCCAGCUAAGGUCCCAAAGUCAUGGUUAAGUGGGAAACGAUGUGGGAAGGCCCAGACAGCCAGGAUGUUGGCUUAGAAGCAGCCAUCAUUUAAAGAAAGCGUAAUAGCUCACUGGUCGAGUCGGCCUGCGCGGAAGAUGUAACGGGGCUAAACCAUGCACCGAAGCUGCGGCAGCGACACUAUGUGUUGUUGGGUAGGGGAGCGUUCUGUAAGCCUGUGAAGGUGGCCUGUGAGGGUUGCUGGAGGUAUCAGAAGUGCGAAUGCUGACAUAAGUAACGAUAAAGCGGGUGAAAAGCCCGCUCGCCGGAAGACCAAGGGUUCCUGUCCAACGUUAAUCGGGGCAGGGUGAGUCGACCCCUAAGGCGAGGCCGAAAGGCGUAGUCGAUGGGAAACAGGUUAAUAUUCCUGUACUUGG
rnacentral:rRNA from 1 species